CCCCUGAGGUUCUCCUCACUGCUAAAUGGGAAUGUUUGUGUGAUCACCAAAUGAGAUAAACAGCAAGGUAAAGUUCCAUAUCCUGCUUUGAUCCUUCAAAUUCCUGCCCCUGCUGCCGUCCAUCCGGGCAGCAGUACAAGCUGUUUCCAUCAGUGUCCCUGGAAGAACUCUGGUGCCAGCUGGGAAACUGCUCAGGGGGGUGGAAGCCCUCCAAGAGCAGAAUGUGCAGCAGGAACUUCACAAGGUGUCAGUUCUGCAAGGCAAAGAGGAAUUUGGGCUGGGAGGGAAAUGCAUAUUCCAGCAGGAUGUGUUAUCUUCCCUUCUGGGCCUGCAAAGUGAAAUCCUGGGGAAGAGCUGCCAGCCUUCACCUCUGAUGGAUGGUUUGACCUCCAUCCACAGCUGCGGGUCCACCCCUCAUCCAACACUUUUGGAGAGCUGCAAUUUCUCCUGUCAAAUAAUAAUGCCCCAUGUGGAAAGGAUAUUGGGAGUCACUGGAAUAACUCACUGAAGCCAACCUGCACUUUGUAAAGCGCUUCAGGAUGCUCUGAGAUGAAACACCCUGCACAGCUAUUGGGAAGAAUUAGCUAAUGCUGGCUAAUGGCUGAGAUAGCAUCUGCAAAGGGCAAGAAAUAAAAACAACCUGAGCUGGAAACUCCAUUAUAUUCUCCUUUAUUUCUUAAACGUCAGGAGAGUUACACAGCCAUGACAAACGGUAAAAGUUAAAGCAACAAUAAUAAUGAAAAUUGGUUCAGUUACAACAAAUUAAAAAAAAAAAGAAAACAAGCUUUAUGGACUAAGCCCUUCUCUCAGACUGGAGAGGAAGCAGAGUGUGCACAGAGCUGAAAAGGGUCUAGUUCUAGUCUCAGUUUUAACCCCUUUUAAGGUCACUGCCAAACACCCCCUUUCCUUGUCCCACACCAAGGGCUCACAGUCCACACAUUAUCCUAAAAGAGACUUUGAUUUCUCUGCCCUCACUGAGGAUGAACUGCUGUAAAAAUUAGGGAUUAUCACUAUUUUAACUCACUGAACAUAAAAUGGAUCUCUCAGGGAGGCUGUGAGGAGGCAAAGCCUGCAAAGUGACAGGCAAAGAAGUCUGUCAAGGUGCAGCAUUUAAUUGGUACAGGGAGAACAUCAUUUUGAAUAACUCAGGCAAAGCACAUUUACCAAAGUGCUACACACUUUACAAAAAAAGUGUUUCUCCACAAGAGGCAAGUUAUAGCACCAGAUUAGGGAAAGAAAGAUGAGAGAGAGAGAGAGAAAACCAACCUGUCUGGCACUGCAGUGAGUCUGUGGCAGAGUGGGGACAGAGAGCAGUGGUCCUGCAAAUCGAACCCUUUAAUUUUCACAUGCAAGAUCAGCUACCUGACUUUCCCCACCGAUGCCAGAGACUGAGAGAAUGCAGAGUGCACCUGAGAGACCCAGGUGGCUUCUCACCACUGUUUGAGGGCAAACAGCCCCUGGUAAUCCCUCUGCAUUAAGAAAUUAAACAGGCAGAACUCUUCA